rnacentral:rRNA from 1 species
CGUGUAGGCGGUCCAGUAAGUCGGAUGUGAAAUCCAAGGGCUCAACCCUUGAACUGCAUCCGAUACUGCUGGACUUGAGGUAGGUAGAGGAGAGUGGAAUUUCUGGUGUAGCGGUGGAAUGCGCAGAUAUCAGAAGGAACACCGAUGGCGAAGACAGCUCUCUGGGCCUUACCUGACGCUGAGACGCGAAAGCAUGGGUAGCAAACA